GAUGAACGCUGGCGGCGUGCCUAAUACAUGCAAGUCGAGCGAACAGACGAGGAGCUUGCUCCUCUGACGUUAGCGGCGGACGGGUGAGUAACACGUGGAUAACCUACCUAUAAGACUGGGAUAACUUCGGGAAACCGGAGCUAAUACCGGAUAAUAUAUUGAACCGCAUGGUUCAAUAGUGAAAGACGGUUUUGCUGUCACUUAUAGAUGGAUCCGCGCCGCAUUAGCUAGUUGGUAAGGUAACGGCUUACCAAGGCAACGAUGCGUAGCCGACCUGAGAGGCUGAUCGGCCACACUGGAACUGAGCCACGGUCCAGACUCCUACGGGAGGCAGCAGUAGGGAAUCGUCCGCAAAGGGCGAAAGCAUGACGGAGCAACGCCGCGUGAGUGAUGAAGGUCUUCGGAUCGUAAAACUCUGUUAUUAGGGAAGAACAAAUGUGUAAGUAACUAUGCACGUCUUGACGGUACCUAAUCAGAAAGCCACGGCUAACUACGUG
rnacentral:rRNA from 1 species